GCAAGUCGAGGGGUAACAGAUGAAGAGCUUGCUCAGAUUGCUGACGACCGGCGCACGGGUGAGUAACACGUAUGCAACCUACCUUUAUCAGAGGGAUAGCCCAGAGAAAUUUGGAUUAAUACCACUUAAUAUUCUUAACUCGCAUGAGUUUUAAAUUAAAACUUCGGUGGUAAAAGAUGGGCAUGCGUUCUAUUAGUUUGUUGGUGAGGUAACGGCUUACCAAGACUACGAUAGAUAGGGGUUCUGAGAGGAUAGUC
rnacentral:rRNA from 1 species